UUAAAAUGUACAACUUGGUGUGUUCUGACAGUUGUAUACAUCCAUGCAACUACCAAUGCACCCAAGGGCCAGAACAUUUUUAUCACACCUGAAAGAUUCCCAUGCCUCUUUGCAAUUCAACCUCCAACCUACUCCCAGCAUGAGACAACAGCUGAUCUGCUUUGAGUCAUAGACUACUUUUCAUUUUCUAGAACUUCAUAUUAAUGGAAUCAUAUGGUAUGUACUCUUUUCUUUCAUUCAGCAUGAUUAUUUUGAGAUUCAUCCAUUUUGUUCUAUCAGUAAUUCGUUCCUUUUAUUGCUGUGUUGUAUUCUAUUAUAUGGAUGCAUCACAAUUUGUUUAAUCCAUUCAGCAAUUGAUGGACCUUUGGGUUGUUUACUGUUUUGGGCUAUUGUGUACAUAAAUGUGUACAGUCUUGGUGUAGAUAUAUGUUUCAUUUCUCUAGGAAAAUACCUGGGAGUGGAAUGGCUGGGAAAUAUGGUAGGUGUAAGUUUAAUACUAUGGGAAACAGCCAGUUUUUCAAAGUGGGUGCAGCAUUUCGCAUUACCAUGAGCAGUGAAUGAGAGUACCAUUUGCUCCAUGUAGCUUGGCAAUACCUGAUAUUGUCAGUUUUUUUAAUUUUAGACAUUCUAAAGGAUUCUGUGUGGGCUACCUAGAUUUUUAUAUGAGAAAAAAAUAAAAUUUUAAGUUGACUUUAAGCCACAUUAUUUUGAAUGUUCUAUCACUCCCAGCUGAAGCUAAUCCUACUGAAUACAGAAAGCAAGAGUGGAAGGAAGAAGGCCCAUUAGGAGAGUCCUGCAGCUCAGUUAAGAGGGGACAGUGGCUUGGAAUAAGGGAGAGCAGGGGAGAUGGAGAGAAAUGGAUAGGUUGGUGAGAGAGUUAAGAGAUAAUAGAUUUAGGACUUGAUAAUAAUGAAUUGGGUGUGGAGGGUUAAGACAAUCAGGUUACACAGCAGAGGAGCUGGGCCUUAGGCCCAGGGCCAUUUAGUGCCAGAGAAUACUCCCAACUACUGUUCUCUUUGCCUCCAAGAUGUCAAAGUCACAUGGAGGAGAACUGGCAACUGCUCCAGCUUUGGCUGUUGCAAACCUGUGGGUUUUGCUAGUUUGGUUGUUUGUGUCUUUGUUUUGUUGUGGAAGAGCGUGUUUUAGACAGGAGGGAGGAAGAUGCGCAAAUGCUAAUGUUGACAUCCAUGAGGAUUAUUUGUAAUAUUAGUACGAUUUUGUUGAUACUAAUGAAAUUAUUAUUAUUAUUGAUUUCUGUGUAUACCGCCUCUUUUAACUUCAAUUCCAGGGGGGAAAAAAUCAAAGGACUUAAAUAAGAAUGAGCUGAAUGGAAGCUAAAAACUUGACUAAGAGCUUUAGGUGAAUGAUUUUUAUUUCAUCCUUGCAACAAUCCUGUGUUUUGCAUUUUAUAGAUGAGGAAACUGAGACUCAGAGAAGUUAAGUGACUUACCCAAGGUCAAACAGCUCAUAAGAAGUGACACUUCUUAUGUUUUGGAACUUCACUUCCCAAAAAUGCCCUUCAUCAAAUGCCUGAUUAUCUGCACUGUAUAAAGGUCUGACUUCAGUGACUCCCACCGGCACCACUACCUCCUGAAAUGAGACACAACUGUCAUGAGACUGCCAUUCUCAGGACUGGGAGACUGGUUCUAUGGGAUAUGGGAUGAUCGAAUAACUCAGCCCCUUUUCUGUGACACUUCUAGGAAAGUUUCAGAUGGGGAAAAUGAGGAGAUGCAGAAUAUACCACUAUGAAGAGUCUUUUUUUCUGAAUUGCCCUGAUCUGCCUAAAAGCAGUGCCUCCCAAAGGAAUUCAACAGUCAUGAAUCCCCUCUUGGGUGUUUCGCAACCAGGGACGAUUAGCUCCUAUCGCUAGAGAUGAGAAGUUGGCACUGGG